rnacentral:rRNA from 1 species
UACGAAGGGGGCUAGCGUUGCUCGGAAUCACUGGGCGUAAAGGGUGCGUAGGCGGGUUUUUAAGUCAGAGGUGAAAUCCUGGAGCUCAACUCCAGAACUGCCUUUGAUACUGAAAGUCUUGAGUAUGGGAGAGGUGAGUGGAACUGCGAGUGUAGAGGUGAAAUUCGUAGAUAUUCGCAAGAACACCAGUGGCGAAGGCGGCUCACUGGCCCAUUACUGACGCUGAGGCACGAAAGCGUGGGGGAGCAAACAGGG